rnacentral:rRNA from 1 species
UGGGGAAUAUUGCACAAUGGGCGAAAGCCUGAUGCAGCAACGCCGCGUGAGUGAUGAAGGCCUUCGGGUUGUAAAGCUCUGUCUUUUGGGACGAUAAUGACGGUACCAAAGGAGGAAGCCACGGCUAACUACGUGCCAGCAGCCGCGGUAAUACGUAGGUGGCAAGCGUUGUCCGGAUUUACUGGGCGUAAAGGAUGCGUAGGCGGAUUUUUAAGUGAGAUGUGAAAACCCUAAGCUUAACUUGGGGACUGCAUUUCAUACUGGAAAUCUAGAGUGCGGGAGAGGAGAAUGGAAUUCCUAGUGUAGCGGUGAAAUGCGUAGAGAUUAGGAAGAACACCAGUGGCGAAGGCGAUUCUCUGGACCGUAACUGACGCUGAGGCAUGAAAGCGUGGGUAGCAAACAGGAUUAGAUACCCUGGUAGUCCACGCCGUAAACGAUGAGUACUAGGUGUAGGAGGUAUCGACCCCUUCUGUGCCGCAGUUAACACAAUAAGUACUCCGCCUGGGAAGUACGAUCGCAAGAUUAAAACUCAAAUGAAUUACGGGGGUC